rnacentral:tmRNA from 1 species
GGGGGUGACUGGAUUUGACGGCAAGUCGAGAUGGUACGUAAGCAUGCGGAGUGACGGCUGUGUUCUCCAUAAUCAAGUCGGUCGAAAAAUUAAUUGGCGAAACACGUUACGCUCUCGCUGCCUAAUCGAAGCACAGUAGAUUGAGGCUCAAUUCCUUUACAAGGUAGAGGAACGAGACGUCGCUCCGAGGAUGUUGUUCCGAAUCCGAAGAUCCAGCGGCGCAGGUUAAAUCGGAAAUAGUCUUAUCAGACCUCGAUGAUAGGAUGAAGCUUUAGAGGAUAAGGGUGCAAUUGGUGGUCCGGGUCUUGUUGCAUCACGAAAAUGAAGGCCGGAAUAAGCAUGUAGAAAGCGUAUGGUUUCCUUGUGCGGACGAGGGUUCGAUUCCCUCCA